rnacentral:rRNA from 1 species
AGUGAACGCUGGCGGUAGGCCUAACACAUGCAAGUCGAACGGCAGCACAGUAAGAGCUUGCUCUUACGGGUGGCGAGUGGCGGACGGGUGAGGAAUACAUCGGAAUCUACUUUUUCGUGGGGGAUAACGUAGGGAAACUUACGCUAAUACCGCAUACGACCUACGUGUGAAAGCAGGGGAUCUUCGGACCUUGCGCGAUUGAAUGAGCCGAUGUCGGAUUAGCUAGUUGGCGGGGUAAAGGCCCACCAAGGCGACGAUCCGUAGCUGGUCUGAGAGGAUGAUCAGCCACACUGGAAAUGAGACACGGUCCAGACUCCUACGGGAGGCAGCAGUGGGGAAUAUUGGACAAUGGGCGCAAGUCUGAUCCAGCCAUACCGCGUGGGUGAAGCAGGCCUUCGGGUUGUAAAGCCCUUUUGUUGGGAAAGAAAAGCAGCAGGUUAAUACCCCGCUGUUCUGACGGUACCCAAAGAAUAAGCACCGGCUAACUUCGUG